rnacentral:rRNA from 1 species
GGUUAAGCGACUAAGCGUACACGGUGGAUGCCCUGGCAGUCAGAGGCGAUGAAGGACGUGCUAAUCUGCGAAAAGCGUCGGUAAGGUGAUAUGAACCGUUAUAGCCGGCGAUGUCCGAAUGGGGAAACCCAGUGCAAUUCGUUGCACUAUCGUUAACUGAAUACAUAGGUUAACGAGGCGAACCGGGGGAACUGAAACAUCUAAGUACCCCGAGGAAAAGAAAUCAACCGAGAUUCCCCCAGUAGCGGCGAGCGAACGGGGAGCAGCCCAGAGUCUGAAUCAGCUUGUGUGUUAGUGGAACGGUCUGGAAAGUCCGACGGUACAGGGUGAUAGUCCCGUACACCAAAAUGCACAGGUUGUGAACUCGAAGAGUAGGGCGGGACACGUGGUAUCCUGUCUGAAUAUGGGGGGACCAUCCUCCAAGGCUAAAUACUCCUGACUGACCGAUAGUGAACCAGUACCGUGAGGGAAAGGCGAAAAGAACCCCGGCGAGGGGAGUGAAAAAGAACCUGAAACCGUGUACGUACAAGCAGUGGGAGCACCUUCGGGUGUGACUGCGUACCUUUUGUAUAAUGGGUCAGCGACUUAUAUUCUGUAGCAAGGUUAACCGUAUAGGGGAGCCGCAGGGAAACCGAGUCUUAACUGGGCGUUAAGUUGCAGGGUAUAGACCCGAAACCCGGUGAUCUAGCCAUGGGCAGGUUGAAGGUUGGGUAACACUAACUGGAGGACCGAACCGACUAAUGUUGAAAAAUUAGCGGAUGACUUGUGGCUGGGGGUGAAAGGCCAAUCAAACCGGGAGAUAGCUGGUUCUCCCCGAAAGCUAUUUAGGUAGCGCCUCGUGAACUCAUCUUCGGGGGUAGAGCACUGUUUCGGCUAGGGGGUCAUCCCGACUUACCAACCCGAUGCAAACUACGAAUACCGAAGAAUGUUAUCACGGGAGACACACGGCGGGUGCUAACGUCCGUCGUGAAGAGGGAAACAACCCAGACCGCCAGCUAAGGUCCCAAAGUCAUGGUUAAGUGGGAAACGAUGUGGGAAGGCACAGACAGCCAGGAUGUUGGCUUAGAAGCAGCCAUCAUUUAAAGAAAGCGUAAUAGCUCACUGGUCGAGUCGGCCUGCGCGGAAGAUGUAACGGGGCUAAACCAUGCACCGAAGCUGCGGCAGCGACACUAUGUGUUGUUGGGUAGGGGAGCGUUCUGUAAGCCUGCGAAGGUGUGCUGUGAGGCAUGCUGGAGGUAUCAGAAGUGCGAAUGCUGACAUAAGUAACGAUAAAGCGGGUGAAAAGCCCGCUCGCCGGAAGACCAAGGGUUCCUGUCCAACGUUAAUCGGGGCAGGGUGAGUCGACCCCUAAGGCGAGGCCGAAAGGCGUAGUCGAUGGGAAACAGGUUAAUAUUCCUGUACUUGGUGUUACUGCGAAGGGGGGACGGAGAAGGCUAUGUUAGCCGGGCGACGGUUGUCCCGGUUUAAGCAUGUAGGCUGGUUAUCCAGGCAAAUCCGGAUAAUCAAGGCUGAGGUGUGAUGACGAGGCACUACGGUGCUGAAGUAACAAAUGCCCUGCUUCCAGGAAAAGCCUCUAAGCAUCAGGUAACAUCAAAUCGUACCCCAAACCGACACAGGUGGUCAGGUAGAGAAUACCAAGGCGCUUGAGAGAACUCGGGUGAAGGAACUAGGCAAAAUGGUGCCGUAACUUCGGGAGAAGGCACGCUGGUGUGUAGGUGAAGUCCCUGCGGAUGGAGCUGAGACCAGUCGAAGAUACCAGCUGGCUGCAACUGUUUAUUAAAAACACAGCACUGUGCAAACACGAAAGUGGACGUAUACGGUGUGACGCCUGCCCGGUGCCGGAAGGUUAAUUGAUGGGGUUAUCCGUAAGGAGAAGCUCUUGAUCGAAGCCCCGGUAAACGGCGGCCGUAACUAUAACGGUCCUAAGGUAGCGAAAUUCCUUGUCGGGUAAGUUCCGACCUGCACGAAUGGCGUAAUGAUGGCCAGGCUGUCUCCACCCGAGACUCAGUGAAAUUGAACUCGCUGUGAAGAUGCAGUGUACCCGCGGCAAGACGGAAAGACCCCGUGAACCUUUACUAUAGCUUGACACUGAACAUUGAGCCUUGAUGUGUAGGAUAGGUGGGAGGCUUUGAAGCGUGGACGCCAGUCUGCGUGGAGCCAACCUUGAAAUACCACCCUUUAAUGUUUGAUGUUCUAACGUUGGCCCCUUACCGGGGUUGCGGACAGUGUCUGGUGGGUAGUUUGACUGGGGCGGUCUCCUCCCAAAGCGUAACGGAGGAGCACGAAGGUUAGCUAAUCCUGGUCGGACAUCAGGAGGUUAGUGCAAUGGCAUAAGCUAGCUUGACUGCGAGCGUGACGGCGCGAGCAGGUGCGAAAGCAGGUCAUAGUGAUCCGGUGGUUCUGAAUGGAAGGGCCAUCGCUCAACGGAUAAAAGGUACUCCGGGGAUAACAGGCUGAUACCGCCCAAGAGUUCAUAUCGACGGCGGUGUUUGGCACCUCGAUGUCGGCUCAUCACAUCCUGGGGCUGAAGUAGGUCCCAAGGGUAUGGCUGUUCGCCAUUUAAAGUGGUACGCGAGCUGGGUUUAGAACGUCGUGAGACAGUUCGGUCCCUAUCUGCCGUGGGCGCUGGAGAAUUGAGGGGGGCUGCUCCUAGUACGAGAGGACCGGAGUGGACGCAUCACUGGUGUUCGGGUUGUCAUGCCAAUGGCACUGCCCGGUAGCUAAAUGCGGAAGAGAUAAGUGCUGAAAGCAUCUAAGCACGAAACUUGCCCCGAGAUGAGUUCUCCCUGAGACUUUAAGUCUCCUGAAGGAACGUUGAAGACGACGACGUUGAUAGGCCGGGUGUGUAAGCGCAGCGAUGCGUUGAGCUAACCGGUACUAAUGAACCGUGAGGCUUAACCUU